UACGAAGGAUGCAAGCGUUAUCCGGAUUCACUGGGUUUAAAGGGUGCGUAGGAGGGCAGGUAAGUCAGUGGUGAAAUCCCCGAGCUUAACUUGGGAACUGCCGUUGAUACUAUCUGUCUUGAAUAUCGUGGAGGUGAGCGGAAUAUGUCAUGUAGCGGUGAAAUGCUUAGAUAUGACAUAGAACACCCAUUGCGAAGGCAGCUUGCUACACUAUUAUUGAUGCUGAGGCACGAAAGCGUGGGGAUCAAACAGG
rnacentral:rRNA from 1 species